AGUGGGAUAACAGGGUCAAAUGGUAAUUUUAUUCCUAGUUUUUUGAGGAAUCUCCAUACUGCUUUCCAGAGUGGUUGCACCAAUUUGCAGUUCCACCAGCAAU
rnacentral:pre_miRNA from 1 species